rnacentral:rRNA from 1 species
CCCUUAGAUGUCCUGGGCCGCACGCGCGCUACACUGACAUGUUCAACAAGCCUCCUAGUUCGACAGGAUUUGGGAAAUCUUUGAACGCAUGUCGUGAUAGGGAUAGAUCAUUGCAAUUAUUGAUCUUGAACGAGGAAUUCCUAGUAAACGCGAGUCAUCAGCUCGCAUUGAUUACGUCCCUGCCCUUUGUACACACCGCCCGUCGCACCUACCGAUUGAAUGUUUCGGUGAAGAUUCCGGAUAGGACUUUUUUGAUUUAUUUCAAUUCUGUCUUAAAAGCUAUCUAAACCUCAACAUUUAGAGGAAGGAGAAGUCGUAACA